CCUCUCUUUUCCUAAUAUGGCAAAGUUGCACAGAGCCAAAAUAGGCUUUUGCGGGUUCAUUUGUGUGAAACCCUCAAAGUUCCAACCUCAAAUCCUUUGUUUUGUUCUAAAUAUGGUACUAAUCUUCAUUACAUUUAAUUUUCUUUUAUUUCCUCGAAUCAAGCAUGCAAUUUUCUAGAUUUUUGGUGUUGUACGAACUGCAUUUUCAUUGGCUAAUGAGGAAAUGCCUUGGAUCGGUCAGAUCCGACCACGCAUGUAUUGUUUUACUUUGCGUCUCAGUCGUUAAUUCGUAUAUUGAGUGUUUGCAUCUGAAAAUCCACUUGGUACCACAUCAAAAUUUCAAGUCUGGGAAUAGAAUAUCUCUCACCAUUUAAACAAGUUGGAAAAACAACCAAAAAAGCCUGAACUUGAGUAUAAAACUUGAGAAUUAGGCUUUCUUAGUAAAAAAGAAAUUUAAGAUUAGAUUUUAAAGUUUGAGUCUCUUUUUUUUAGUUCUAAAAAUUGGUGUCUUUGUUCAUUUUUGUGGUUGAGUUUGGGAUUUGGGAGCACACAGGCUUCAAAUUCGUUCUUGUCCACGGCUGCACCUAAAAGGUGGAGUCCAGCCACCCUAUUGGGCUUUUUAGCCCAAUAGAAAAAUUCUUUCAAAGAUUAUGGAGUUCAAGAAAAUAAAAUGGAAGCUAAUAUUGUUAAGGAUGCAGAGACGGCCAAGCCAUGGGUGAAAAUGGCCAACUAGGGGCUUGGCACGCCCCUAGUGUCCCCUUCUCCGUACUUAUGCAUUUUUGUUAAAUGCAACAGAUUGUAUCAUGUAUUUGUAAAGAUUGUAAAACUCAUGUGUAUUAUGGGAAUCAUUAUGAUCA